rnacentral:rRNA from 1 species
UACGGAGGAUGCAAGCGUUAUCCGGAAUGAUUGGGCGUAAAGCGUCCGCAGGUGGCUUUGUAAGUCUGCUGUUAAAUAGUGAGGCUUAACCUCAUAAAGGCAGUGGAAACUACAAGGCUAGAGUGCGUUCGGGGCAGAGGGAAUUCCUGGUGUAGCGGUGAAAUGCGUAGAGAUCAGGAAGAACACCGGUGGCGAAAGCGCUCUGCUAGGCCGCAACUGACACUGAGGGACGAAAGCUAGGGGAGCGAAUGGG